AGUUACCAGCACGUUAUGGUGGGCGACUCUAAGGAGACUGCCGGUGACAAACCGGAGGAAGGUGGGGAUGACGUCGAGUCAUCAUGGCCCUUACGGCCUGGGCUACACACGUGCUACAAUGGCCGGUACAAAGGGUUGCGAAGCCGUGAGGUGGAGCGAAUCUCAAAAAGCCGGCCUCAGUUCGGAUUGGAGGCUGCAACUCGCCUCCAUGAAGUCGGAAUCGCUAGUAACCGCAGAUCAGCUACGUUGCGGUGAAUACGUUCCCGGGCCUU
rnacentral:rRNA from 1 species